AGACUCCUACGGGAGGCAGCAGUGGGGAAUAUUGCGCAAUGGGGGAAACCCUGACGCAGCGACGCCGCGUGAGCGAUGAAGGCCUUCGGGUCGUAAAGCUCUGUCAGGUGGGAAGAAACUUCCGUUGACUAAUAAUUGACGGAACUGACGGUACCACCAGAGGAAGCACCGGCUAACUCCGUGCCAGCAGCCGCGGUAACACGGAGGGUGCAAGCGUUGUUCGGAAUCACUGGGCGUAAAGGACGCGCAGGCGGUUCGGUAAGUCAGAAGUGAAAUCCGUCGGCUCAACCGACGAACUGCUUCUGAUACUGCCAGACUUGAGUACGGGAGAGGAAAGCGGAAUUCCCAGUGUAGAGGUGAAAUUCGUAGAUAUUGGGAAGAACACCGGUGGCGAAGGCGGCUUUCUGGACCGAUACUGACGCUGAGGCGUGAAAGCGUGGGGAGCAAACAGGAUUAGAUACCCUGGUAGUCCACGCUGUAAACGGUGAGUACUAGUGUAGGGGGUACCGACCCCCCCUGUGCCGCAGCUAACGCAAUAAGUACUCCGCCUGGGAACUACGGCCGCAAGGCUAAAACUCAAAGGAAUUGACGGGGACCCGCACAAGCGG
rnacentral:rRNA from 1 species